UACGUAGGGUCCGAGCGUUGUCCGGAAUUAUUGGGCGUAAAGAGCUCGUAGGCGGCAUGUCGCGUCUGCUGUGAAAGACCGGGGCUUAACUCCGGUUCUGCAGUGGAUACGGGCAUGCUAGAGGUAGGUAGGGGAAACUGGAAUUCCUGGUGUAGCGGUGAAAUGCGCAGAUAUCAGGAGGAACACCGGUGGCGAAGGCGGGUUUCUGGGCAUUACCUGACGCUGAGGAGCGAAAGUGUGGGGAGCGAACAGG
rnacentral:rRNA from 1 species